rnacentral:tRNA from 4 species
UGUUGUAGCUCAGGGGUAGAGCACUUCCUUGGUAAGGAAGAGGUCAUGGGUUCAAAUCCCAUUAAC